UACGUAGGGGCGAGCGUUGUCCGGAAUUAUUGGGCGUAAAGGGUACGCAGGCGGUUCUUUAAGUCUGAUGUGAAAUCUCACAGCUUAACUGUGAGCGGUCAUUGGAAACUGAGGAACUUGAGUAUAGAAGAGAAGAGUGGAAUUCCAAGUGUAGCGGUGAAAUGCGUAGAUAUUUGGAGGAACACCAGUGGCGAAGGCGACUUACUGGACUGUAACUGACGCUGAGUCGCGAAAGCGUGGGUAGCAAACAGGAUUAGAUACCCUGGUA
rnacentral:rRNA from 1 species